rnacentral:rRNA from 1 species
ACUCCUACGGGAGGCAGCAGUGGGGAAUAUUGCACAAUGGGCGCAAGCCUGAUGCAGCCAUGCCGCGUGUGUGAAGAAGGCCUUCGGGUUGUAAAGCACUUUCAGUCGUGAGGAAGGUAGUGUAGUUAAUAGCUGCAUUAUUUGACGUUUAGCGACAGAAGAAGCACCGGCUAACUCCGUGCCAGCAGCCGCGGUAAUACGGAGGGUGCGAGCGUUAAUCGGAAUUACUGGGCGUAAAGCGCAUGCAGGUGGUUUGUUAAGUCAGAUGUGAAAGCCCGGGGCUCAACCUCGGAAUAGCAUUUGAAACUGGCAGACUAGAGUACUGUAGAGGGGGGUAGAAGUUUCAGGUGUAGCGGUGAAAUGCGUAGAGAUCUGAAGGAAUACCGGUGGCGAAGGCGGCCCCCUGGACAGAUACUGACACUCAGAUGCG